UUGGUGAACAUAAAAGGAACAAGAUGCCCCAAAUGCAAAGCUUCAGAAGAAGGCCCUCUGCCUGUGUAGAGAUAGAACUUCUCACCGCGUUCAUAAGCAUCCAAAAUCUCAUUCAAUAACCUGUGAGCGAAAAAGACGUUGCGGCGGAGAAAAAUAUGAGGAAUGCGAUUGGUGAGACGAUGAACUCGAUCAACGAAGGAUUGGUCGAGCCUUUGACAACCAAAUUGGUCGAUGAGUUUGUCGUAAUCGAUUUUGCCUUUAGCGGACACUUCCCAUGGAUUGAUGACUUGCGUUUGUUCUUCGUCUGCUUUCGUCUCCUUCUCCAUCCCCUCCCUUUGACGGCUAGCUAGACUGUUGUUGGGACGUGAAAGCGAUGUCUAGGAGCCGGAACUAGCGUCGCCGCAGCUGAAGCUGGAGUCGCCGGAGAUGGAUACGGUUGUUGUGGAGAACUGGCGGCUGGGGAGAA
rnacentral:lncRNA from 1 species